GGAGAGGUGCCAGAGCUGGCCGAAUGGGCUGGUUUCGAAAACCAGUGAGGUCGCGAGGCCUCCGAGGGUUCGAAUCCCUCCCUCUCCGCCA
rnacentral:tRNA from 1 species